CACGUAGUUAGCCGUGGCUUUCUGGUUAGAUACCGUCAAGGCGCUAACAGUUACUCUAGCACUUGUUCUUCUCUAACAACAGAGUUUUACGAUCCGAAAACCUUCUUCACUCACGCGGCGUUGCUCCGUCAGACUUGCGUCCAUUGCGGAGGAUUCCCUACUGCUGCCUCCCGUAGGAGUUUGGGCCGUGUCUCAGUCCCAAUGUGGCCGAUCACCCUCUCAGGUCGGCUAUGCAUCACGGCCUUGGUGAGCCGUUACCUCACCAACUAGCUAAUGCACCGCGGGUCCAUCCAUCAGCAGAAGCUUGCGCCUCUUUUCCUCCUUCAACCAUGCGGUUAAAGGACCUAUGCGGUUUUAGCAUCCGUUUCCGAAUGUUAUCCCCCUCUGAUGGGCAGGUUACCCACGUGUUACUCACCCGUUCGCCACUAGAUUGACCAGUGCAAGCACCGGUCGCUCUCGUUCGACUUGCAUGUAUUAGGCACGCCGCCAGCGUUCGU
rnacentral:rRNA from 1 species